GGGACAACGCCGGAAACUGGCGAUAUUCCCCGAUAGGUGAGGGACGCUAGAAUGCUUCCUCGCUCAAAGCUCCGGCGCCCGAGGAUGGGACUGCGGCCUAUCAGGCUGUUGGUGGUGUGACGGACCACCAAACCUACGACGGGUACGGGCGAUGGGAGUCGGAGCCCGGAGAUGGGGACUGAGACAAGGCCCCAGACCCUACGGGGCGCAGCAGGCGCGAAAACUCCGCAAUGCGCGCAAGCGUGACGGGGGAACCCCAAGUGCCGUUGGUCUUUUGAUCGACGGCUUUUCGGAAGUCUAAGAAGCUUCCGGAAUAAGGGCUGGGUAAGACUGGUGCCAGCCGCCGCGGUAACACCAGCAGCCCAAGUGGUGGCCGCGAUUAUUGGGCCUAAAGCGCUCGUAGCCGGAUCAGCAAGUCCUUUGUGAAAUCGGGCCGCCCAACGGUUCGGCGUGCAAAGGAUACUGUUGGUCUUGAGACCGGGAGAGGUCGGAGGUACUCUUGGGGUAGCGGUGAAAUGCUGUAAUCCUAGGGGGACCACCAGUGGCGAAGGCGUCCGACCAGAACGGAUCUGACGGUGAGGGGCGAAGGCUAGGGGAGCGAACGGGAUUAGAUACCCCGGUAGUCCUAGCUGUAAAGCAUGCGGGCCAGGUGUCUAGUGCUCCUCGAGGGCGCUAUGUGCCGGAAGGAAGCCGUUAAGCCCGCCGCCUGGGA
rnacentral:rRNA from 1 species